rnacentral:rRNA from 1 species
ACAGUUGCGCUGGAAAGUUUCAUGAACCUUAUCACUUAGAGGAAGGAGAAGUCGUAACAAGGUUUCCGUAGGUGAACCUGCGGAAGGAUCAUUC